rnacentral:rRNA from 1 species
AGCGAACGCUGGCGGCAGGCCUAACACAUGCAAGUCGAACGGAUCCUUCGGGAUUAGUGGCGGACGGGUGAGUAACACGUGGGAACGUGCCCUUUGGUUCGGAACAACUCAGGGAAACUUGAGCUAAUACCGGAUGUGCCCUUCGGCGGAAAGAUUUAUCGCCAUUGGUGCGGCCCGCGUCUGAUUAGCUAGUUGGUGAGGUAACGGCCCACCAAGGCGACGAUCAGUAGCUGGUCUGAGAGGAUGAUCAGCCACACUGGGACUGAGACACGGCCCAGACUCCUACGGGAGGCAGCAGUGGGGAAUCUUGCGCAAUGGGCGAAAGCCUGACGCAGCCAUGCCGCGUGAAUGAUGAAGGUCUUAGGAUUGUAAAAUUCUUUCAGCGGGGACGAUAAUGACGGUACCCGCAGAAGAAGCUCCGGCUAACUUCGUG